ACAGUCUUAUCAAAUAAGAUGCCAAGCUCUUCUUGCAGGUUAUAAGACCACGGCUUCUGUGUGGGGUGCUUUUGCUCUCCCUCUCUCUUCCAUCACUCACCCUGGGAGAAGUCAACUGCCAUGCUGUGAGGGGCCUUUGAAGAGGGCCUGAGCUCUGCCAACAGCCGCACGAGUGAUCUUGGAGUGGAGCCUCCUCCAGUCCAGCCCUGAGAGGACUAUCAUCUGGCCAACAGCUGACGGUUACCGGAAACAUCAACUGAGCCACGGAGACGUGGUUGAACCAAUCAUCCACAGAUGACUU